UUUCUCUGUAGAUUGACGCUGGCGGCAGGCCUAACACAUGCAAGUCGAGCGGUAGCACAGAGAGCUUGCUCUCGGGUGACGAGCGGCGGACGGGUGAGUAAUGUCUGGGAAACUGCCUGAUGGAGGGGGAUAACUACUGGAAACGGUAGCUAAUACCGCAUAACGUCGCAAGACCAAAGUGGGGGACCUUCGGGCCUCAUGCCAUCAGAUGUGCCCAGAUGGGAUUAGCUAGUAGGUGGGGUAACGGCUCACCUAGGCGACGAUCCCUAGCUGGUCUGAGAGGAUGACCAGCCACACUGGAACUGAGACACGGUCCAGACUCCUACGGGAGGCAGCAGUGGGGAAUAUUGCACAAUGGGCGCAAGCCUGAUGCAGCCAUGCCGCGUGUGUGAAGAAGGCCUUCGGGUUGUAAAGCACUUUCAGCGGGGAGGAAGGCGUUAAGGUUAAUAACCUUGUCGAUUGACGUUACCCGCAGAAGAAGCACCGGCUAACUCCGUGCCAGCAGCCGCGGUAAUACGGAGGGUGCAAGCGUUAAUCGGAAUUACUGGGCGUAAAGCGCACGCAGGCGGUCUGUCAAGUCGGAUGUGAAAUCCCCGGGCUCAACCUGGGAACUGCAUUCGAAACUGGCAGGCUAGAGUCUUGUAGAGGGGGGUAGAAUUCCAGGUGUAGCGGUGAAAUGCGUAGAGAUCUGGAGGAAUACCGGUGGCGAAGGCGGCCCCCUGGACAAAGACUGACGCUCAGGUGCGAAAGCGUGGGGAGCAAACAGGAUUAGAUACCCUGGUAGUCCACGCCGUAAACGAUGUCGAUUUGGAGGUUGUGCCCUUGAGGCGUGGCUUCCGGAGCUAACGCGUUAAAUCGACCGCCUGGGGAGUACGGCCGCAAGGUUAAAACUCAAAUGAAUUGACGGGGGCCCGCACAAGCGGUGGAGCAUGUGGUUUAAUUCGAUGCAACGCGAAGAACCUUACCUGGUCUUGACAUCCACAGAACUUUCCAGAGAUGGAUUGGUGCCUUCGGGAACUGUGAGACAGGUGCUGCAUGGCUGUCGUCAGCUCGUGUUGUGAAAUGUUGGGUUAAGUCCCGCAACGAGCGCAACCCUUAUCCUUUGUUGCCAGCGGUUCGGCCGGGAACUCAAAGGAGACUGCCAGUGAUAAACUGGAGGAAGGUGGGGAUGACGUCAAGUCAUCAUGGCCCUUACGACCAGGGCUACACACGUGCUACAAUGGCAUAUACAAAGAGAAGCGACCUCGCGAGAGCAAGCGGACCUCAUAAAGUAUGUCGUAGUCCGGAUUGGAGUCUGCAACUCGACUCCAUGAAGUCGGAAUCGCUAGUAAUCGUAGAUCAGAAUGCUACGGUGAAUACGUUCCCGGGCCUUGUACACACCGCCCGUCACACCAUGGGAGUGGGUUGCAAAAGAAGUAGGUAGCUUAACCUUCGGGAGGGCGCUUACCACUUUGUGAUUCAUGACUGGGGUGAA
rnacentral:rRNA from 1 species